GCGGGCAUAGUUCAGUGGUAGAACUCUUCCUUGCCAAGGAAGGUGUCGCGCGUUCGAAUCGCGUUGCCCGCU
rnacentral:tRNA from 1 species